rnacentral:rRNA from 1 species
UACGGGGGGGGCAAGCGUUGUUCGGAAUUACUGGGCGUAAAGGGCUCGUAGGUGGCCAACUAAGUCAGACGUGAAAUCCCUCGGCUUAACCGGGGAACUGCGUCUGAUACUGGAUGGCUUGAGUUCGGGAGAGGGAUGCGGAAUUCCAGGUGAGCGGUGAAAUGCGUAGAUAUCUGGAGGAACACCGGUGGCGAAGGCGGCAUCCUGGACCAAUUCUGACGCUGAGGAGCGAAAGCCAGGGGAGCAAAGCGGG